rnacentral:lncRNA from 1 species
AGGAAGUUUGUUGCUGUUGAUGUGGCUGUGAUUGCUGUGAAAAUGGUGUUGAAAAUAGUGUCGAUCCAAAACCAGUGCCAAAUGAUGAAGUUGACGGCGUGCCGAAUGCUGGGGUUGAUGAAGGUGUGCCGAAUGCUGGGGUCGACGAAGGUGUGCCGAAUGCUGGGGUUGACGCAGGUGUGCCGAAUGCUGGGGUUGACGAAGGUGUGCCGAAUGAUGGAGUGCCGAAGGCGGAGGAGGGCUGAGCUCCGAACAUUGUUGCAGUGGUGGAGAUGGUGAGAAAGGACAAACCCUAGGUUGGCUUAGGAAGUAACUAUG